UGGGGGAUAUUGCACAAUGGGGGAAACCCUGAUGCAGCGACGCCGCGUGAGUGAAGAAGUAUUUCGGUACGUAAAGCUCUAUCAGCAGGGAAGAAUAAUGACGGUACCUGACUAAGAAGCCCCGGCUAACUACGUGCCAGCAGCCGCGGUAAUACGUAGGGGGCAAGCGUUAUCCGGAUUUACUGGGUGUAAAGGGAGCGUAGACGGCUGUGCAAGUCUGAAGUGAAAUGCCGGGGCUCAACCCCGGAACUGCUUUGGAAACUGUACAGCUAGAGUGCAGGAGGGGUGAGCGGAAUUCCUAGUGUAGCGGUGAAAUGCGUAGAUAUUAGGAGGAACACCGGUGGCGAAGGCGGCUCACUGGACUGUAACUGACGUUGAGGCUCGAAAGCGUGGGGAGCAAACAGG
rnacentral:rRNA from 1 species